ACGGACCUUCGGGUCAGUGGCGGACGGGUGAGUAACGCGUGAGAAUCUGCCCUCAGGAGGGGGAUAACGGCUGGAAACGGCCGCUAUACCCCAUAUGCCGAGAGGCGAAAUGAAUUUCGCCUGAGGAUGAGCUCGCGUCUGAUUAGCUAGUUGGUGGGGUAAAGGCCUACCAAGGCGACGAUCAGUAGCUGGUCUGAGAGGAUGAUCAGCCACACUGGGACUGAGACACGGCCCAGACUCCUACGGGAGGCAGCAGUGGGGAAUUUUCCGCAAUGGGCGAAAGCCUGACGGAGCAACGCCGCGUGAGGGAUGAAGGCCUCUGGGCUGUAAACCUCUUUUCUCAAGGAAGAAGAUCUGACGGUACUUGAGGAAUAAGCCACGGCUAAUUCCGUGCCAGCAGCCGCGGUAAUACGGGAGUGGCAAGCGUUAUCCGGAAUUAUUGGGCGUAAAGCGUCCGCAGGCGGCCCUGUAAGUCUGUCGUUAAAGCGUGGAGCUUAACUCCAUUUGAGCGAUGGAAACUACAGGGCUUGAGUGUGGUAGGGGCA
rnacentral:rRNA from 1 species